rnacentral:lncRNA from 1 species
AUCAUACUAACUCAUCCAGUGUGGAGACGAGAAAGAGUCAAUCAUUGUGCACCUAGUCGGUUGGGAAGUGAGGAAAAAGGUUAGUUGGCUAAGCGACGAGGAUCUACCCCAACAGAAGGUUUAGUAAAUGAGAACAUAGAAGAGGGAGAAGGCCCAGUAAGGGGCCUCUAGAAGAAGUGCAAGAAGAUAGUGGUAGUUACAGUUAUUUAUCCUUGAGUGACUUCAAGAAAAGUGAGGAGGAGAAUGAUGAUCUCUUCGAGGAUUACAUUGAUAACUCUAUUACUGAGACACAGGUACACAAGC